GGGCGGCGGGGGCAGCAGGCCGGGCUCGGCGGCGGCGCAGGGCCGCCAGCGCCCCCGCGCCGCCCGCCAGCGCCGCGCACCCCACGCACGCGCCCACGAUCCACGCCGUGUUGUCCACCUCUGCGGCACACACGAGGUAUGUGGUGAAAGAUGAAGGUGUAGUAUGAAGCAAGUGGUGGCGUUGCCGACGACCGUCAACUCGUCACCUAUGCUACUGCCAACGUGUAGUGACCAGCCCGCGCUGCAGCCGCGCCCGAGGCCGCCGCGACAGCGAGCGCACUGCACACAACCACUCGCCCGCCCAUAUGUGAUACCACUGACUUUUAUCGACCUACACAUUAUAUUCACGCGAUAACUCCAAGGCAGUGCAUUAAUGCUAAUCAUGUGAAGAGGGAUGUCCCUUGCCGCAAAAAAUGCUGCAGACUGGAACAGGGAAUAACUCGGUGUUACUAGUACUAAGGCGGUACCGGGAGACUCAAAUUACUCGGGUAUAGCAAUUCUUCAAUGUUCAUUCGCGGUGACAAGUGACGCGACAUCAUGAUUGUUGCCUGAACUGUUAUUUUAAACAUCCCGUUAACUUUAGUUGACAAAUAAAAGUAUCUGUGAGUGUAUGUAGUCAUUAACUAUUAGCUAUGUAGUUGUUUUUCCUAUAGAAUAUGGCCUACUACGUUACCCGGGAUAGUCUGCACUAAUGGGCACAAUUAACAGCCCACCUUAAUAUUUCGUCACCCUGUUUGUUUAACUAUGGCUAAUGCACUGUUUUGUUUUUUUGUUAAGCAGGCACUAUAGCAAUAGAUGAAAAACUUAUACCUUUAUUUUGAUGCAUACUAUUUUGUCACCGAAGCAUUGUUGCCAUUGUGUUUCCGAAUAUACAAAUCUUGUUCCUUUUAGUGAGAGUGGGUCAAUACAUAUGUAGUUUAAAUUAAAUUUACAGUGACUGCAAGCUGUAUCUAACUCUGAAAAACGAUGCUGGGUACUGUCAAUUCACAACAUGAGAUUUAAAGGAGACUGGUUCAUAUACCCGGGGACCAGGCCAAGGCCGUAAUCGAUCAGUUCGGCCCGAUACGACCGCUUCCUGGUCAGACACAAGAAAUGUUUUGCGCACUUACUGUAGCCCGAACACGGCUUUUUGAUGUGAGAAAUGUCAGAUAGAGUGAACGCAACAUAAGAAGAAGACUGGCAGAAAAUAAGCUGAGAGCUGUUCGAGCACCGUAAAGCUAAACUUUUAUUUGCGAGAGAAUAUGCUAAUUGCACUAUGGGAGAAUGGAAGGACGUACCGCUUUAAAUAAGAACAGAAUAGUUGAAUAGUCUUGUAGGUCUAGGCGGACGUCAGUGAGUUUAUCAGCACCAAAACGAAAGAUCUUCCAUAACCACAACAGUGGAUUACGAGGGAGGGUCCAUAACGGUUUGGGGAGGUAUGUCUUACGAGGCUCGUACGGACCUUGUUGAGUUCGGUAGGAGCAGUGUGAACGCUCAAAGAUACAUCAACAUCAUGCCAUACCAUGAGCACCAUUUUUUGGAAACAACGUCCGAUUAAAGCAUUACAAUGCCCGUUGCCAUACAGCGAGAUCGGAGACUGAGUAGUAGAGGUCGAGAGACAAGUUUCGUCAUGGCUGGCACACAGACCUGAUCUUAACCCAAUGGAACACAUUUGGGCCAGCCUUAAUAGACGUCUCUGAGAAAGAGUCCCAGCCUCUAUGAUCUUAGGAGAGUUCAACACAGCUGGGGUAGACGAAUGGGACAAUAUCUUAAACUUAGAUUUUAAUUGAUUUUCUUAUUUUUAUUACUUUUGGAGUGUAUCGCGUUCAUUCGUGGACAUUUGCACUGUUCGCAGAAAUUAUUUUAAUGUCGUGCCGAGCGCGGCGUCAACCGCCGCUUAUUCUGAUACCAUGUGUGCGGAAGAACUCGUGGCGAACGAGGUCCUGGCGUUCCUGUAGUACCAGCUGGACGUCAUGGAUGAGGUCAGUGUGACCCAAAUAUGCACCUCGAAUUUCACCGAGGAGGAGAUACGCAGCGCAAAGAAGCUGUUGUACGAGUCGCUGCAAAUGGCAGACCGAAUGCCGACCCGGAGGCAAGAUGAAAAGGGAGAGAGGAGUCUCCAAGACACUAUAAGGCUGUUAAAGGAAACCGACACGGACGUUGGCACGUCGUCCGGGUCGUUCGUGGCAAAGGAUUUGCGGAAGCUGCUCCCGGUCACUUUCGAUCACGUCGACGUCACCAGACCACGUGGAGAGAAGAAAGAAGAAGCCAUCUAGCCGAAAUCAAUGCGGAACUGCGUUGACUGGUCCGAACAUGCUGCUGCGCCCAGCAAUACCGACGACGCAGCUGUAUGUUUCGCGUUUACAUCACUCCACGAAGGUCGAGGAGAUCGUGGAGUAUAUACGAGUCAAGACGAACUGGACCUUAAGAGUCGCGAAGGUGCCGUUUUCCGGCGAUUCCGCGGCGGGAGGCCACGCGACAACACGCAGUGCAACACGAGACCGCCUAUUCGUGUCAACAAAUAGACUUGACGAUUGUUUUUAAUUUGUAUGUAUUCGUUUAUAAUUAUUUUAAUGUUAAUUGUUAUUUGUGUAUUGUAUUUUCUAUGGGCCCUAGUUGCCUGAAUUAAAGGAAUAAAUAAAUAAAAUAAAAAUAUGUAUUAGUGUAUAAUUGUUGUAAUGUUAAUUUAUGUAGGUAUUGUAUAUUCUAUGGGCCCUAGUUGUCCGAAUUAAGGGAAUAAAUAAAUAAA